rnacentral:tRNA from 1 species
GGGGAUGUAGCUCAGCCGGUAGAGCACCGGGGUCAAAAGCCCCGGUAGACGCGCGGUUCAAAGCCCGCCAUCCCCA